UCAGGACGAACGCUGGCGGCGUAGCUUAACACAUGCAAGUCGAACGGAGUUUUAAACGGAAGUUUCGGACGGAAGUUAAAACUAGUGGCGGAACGGGUGAGUAACGCGUGGGUAACCUGCCUCAUACAGGGGGAUAACAGUUAGAAAUGACUGCUAACACCGCAUAAUAUAGCGAAACCGCAUUGAUUUUGCUAUCAAAUAUUUAUAGGUAUGAGAUGGGCCCGCGUCUGAUUAGCUAGUUGGUGGGGUAAAAGCCUACCAAGGCGACGAUCAGUAGCCGGCUUGAGAGAGUGACCGGCCACAUUGGGACUGAGACACGGCCCAAACUCCUACGGGAGGCAGCAGUGGGGAAUAUUGGACAAUGGGGGAAACCCUGAUCCAGCGAACCGCCGCGUGAGUGAAGAAGUAUUUCGGUAUGUAAAGCUCUAUCAGCAGGGAAGAUAAUGACAGUACCUGACUAAGAAGCCCCGGCUAACUACGUGCCAGCCGCUGC
rnacentral:rRNA from 1 species